UACAUGGGGUGCAAACGUUGCUCGGAAUUAUUGGGCGUAAAGCGCACAUAGGCGGUUCGUUAAGUCGGAUGUGAAAGCCCUCGGCUCAACUGAGGAAGUGCACCCGAAACUGGCGAGCUUGAGUACGAAAGAGGAUCGCGGAAUUCCCGGUGUAGAGGUGAAAUUCGUAGAUAUCGGGAGGAACACCAAUGGCGAAGGCAGCUCGCUGGGACGGUGCUGACGCUGAGGUGCGAAAGCGUGGGGAGCAAACAGGG
rnacentral:rRNA from 1 species